rnacentral:rRNA from 1 species
UACGUAGGGUGCGAGCGUUGCCCGGAUUUAUUGGGCGUAAAGGGCGCGUAGGCGGCCACGCACGUCCGUUGUGAAAUCGCCCGGCUCAACUGGGCGGGGUCAGCGGAUACGGUGUGGCUCGAGCAAGCUAGGGGGCAAUGGAAUUCCCGGUGUAGUGGUGGAAUGCGUAGAUAUCGGGAGGAACACCAGUGGCGAAGGCGGUUGCCUGGAGCUUUGCUGACGCUGAGACACGAAAGCCAGGGGAGCGAACGGG